UGGCUUCAUAUAGACAUCUUGGGAGGACAGAAUGUUGUUCAAGACCUCUCCCUUUGGACCUUCAACUAUAAAUUUCUCAAGGUUAUCUCAGAGGUGUUGUGGCCAAGAGCAGGGAAUCAUGAAAGGUUAAAGGAGCAUAUGAGGGAUGCCCGGGUGGUUCAGCGGUUGAGCUGCUACCUCUGGCUCAGGGCAUGACCCUGGGAUCCUGGGGUCAAGUCCCGCAUCGGGCUCCCUGCAUGGAGCCUGCUUCUCCCUCUGCCUCUCAUGAAUAAAUACAUAAUAUCUUUAAAAAUAGGCAUGUAAGUCAAGAUGUCAUCUGAACAGAUGACGACUAUUUUAUAAGAUUAUGAGAAAUCCUUUCAUUAGUCCUAGGAAGAAUACAAGGUCAUCUGCCAGAAGAGCCCAACAUAUGCUUCGGAUGAUGCCAAAAGAUGAAAAUUCAUUAAAAUCUAACGUCUAUGGAGAUGGCCCAGAAUGCUGAUGAUCUGUUUGUCUGCCAUCCUGUUGAGUGAUCCUGUUGAGGCUGUAGCAAUCUUAAUGCUGGGGUGUUUUUCCUGUUCACACAAUGUGCUGCCCUCCCUCCCCCAGGGGGAACCAGUGGCUUGCUGAAUCUGCACUGCAAGUUGGUACAGGUAGGUUAGGGAGCAAAGCAAUCAGGAUUCUUCAGUUACAAACAGAGAAAAACAACUCAAAGUUGCUUAAGAUCUCAGACAUGUCUCAUGAAAACAAGGAAAGGAAUGCACCUGGACCUCACAAGUAAUUGUAAUAAGAACACAGAAAACCUAGUUUGAGUCAGAAACCUAAGAAAUACCAUCUUCAUCUUCAUCUCCUGUGCUGUGUUUCUGGGGGAGUUUGCUUCAUUCUUUGCCAGGUAAGUGGACUGAUACAAACCUAAUCCACUUGACGGGAAAGCAGUCCCUUAGAACCAGGUGUAUCCCGUCAGUCAUAUGUAAGAUGUCUGGAUCAGCUUCAUUUACUUCAAGUUAAGAAUCAUCUCCUGAGCAAGAGCCAGAGACAUCAGAGGCAGAGGGAGAAGCAGCCCCCUGCUGAGCUGGGAGCCCAGAGUGGGGCUCCAUCCCAGGACCCUGGAAUCAUGACCUGAGCUGAAGGCAGAUGCUUAACUGACUGAACCACCCAGGCACCUCAGUCACACACAGAGAGAGGGAGAGAGGCAGAGACACAGGCAGAGGGAGAAGCAGGCUCCAUGCACCGGGAGCCCGACGCGGGACUCGAUCCCGGGUCUCCAGGAUCGCGCCCUGGGCUGCAGGCGGCGCCAAACGCUGCGCCCCCGGGAUCCCCCACCGUUUCUCUCAGUGGACAGCCCGCGGGUAGGAGCCGCCCCGCCGGGCUGCCCCGGCCUUCCCCACCU